rnacentral:rRNA from 1 species
CAUGGAGGGUGAGAAUCCCGCCCGGUUGAUCAUUUGCGUUUUACGAUACGCUUUCUAAGAGUCAAGUUGUUUGGGAUUGCAGCUUAAAAUGGGAGGUAAAUUUCUCCUAAGGCUAAAUAACGGCGAGAGACCGAUAGCGAACAAGUACCGUGAGGGAAAGAUGAAAAGAACUUUGAAAAGAGAGUUAAACAGUACGUGAAAUUGUUGAAAGGGAAACGAUUGAAGCCAGUCGUACCUUCGGGUAAUCAGCCUUUCGGGUGCGAUUCUGUGGAGUGUGAGGAGCUUAACACCUUCAUGCUUUGCAUAUUUGUGCUCUUGGGUGUACUUGCCCGUGUGGUUGGUUAACAUCAAUUUUGGUUAUCAUAAAAUGAUUGGAGGAAUGUAGCUUCGAUCUCGUAUUGAAGUGUUAUAGCCUUCGGUAGAUGUGAUGAUCGAGAUUGAGGAUUGCAACGGAUACCCUUCGGGGCUACCUGUCUGGUCUCUGAUCGUUGCUCUGGUGCCGAAAGCUUGCUUACGGUUAUCAAAGUCGAUGGUCAAUAGGUUAGAACGGGUUAAAUUCGUUAAGGAUGUUGACGUAAUG